GACGAACGCUGGCGGCGUGCUUAACACAUGCAAGUCGAACGGAAAGGCCCCUUUGGGGGUCCUCGAGUGGCGAACGGGUGAGUAACACGUGAGUAACCUGCCCUUGACUUCGGGAUAACUUCAGGAAACUGGGGCUAAUACCGGAUAGGAAUCCUUGCUGCAUGGUGGGGGUUGGAAAGCUUCGGCGGUUUUGGAUGGACUCGCGGCUAAUCAGCUUGUUGGUGGGGUAGUGGCUUACCAAGGCUUUGACGGGUAGCCGGCCUGAGAGGGCGACCGGCCACAUUGGGACUGAGAUACGGCCCAGACUCCUACGGGAGGCAGCAGUGGGGAAUAUUGCACAAUGGGCGGAAGCCUGAUGCAGCAACGCCGCGUGCGGGAUGACGGCCUUCGGGUUGUAAACCGCUUUCAGCAGGGGCGAAGCUUGUGGUGACGGUACCUGCAGAAGAAGCACCGGCUAACUACGUG
rnacentral:rRNA from 1 species